UUUAAUUUCAGGUCAGUGUUCUAACACACACAAGAAUGACUAGUUAAGGACAUUCUACUCAUGUAUGUGUGGUCAUACACCUUAAAGGGUUAACAGCAUUUGACAGCACCUCUUUAAGGUUGUCACAGAGGACAGCAGCGAGGAGGAAUGUGACGGGUAUGUCGCACCUCCAUGGCACUCCGAAUCGGGAGCGCAAGAAGAGCAAAGGUGUUGGGAACGCGUGAGCCCCCCACCCCCCCCACCCCCCACCCACACCCCAGGCAGCUCUCCACUCAGCGGAACCCACCAGUGCCGGGUGUUCCGGAACGCUGAUGCGGAAAACUCCUGGGACGCGCGGCGAACACUGACACCCAGUGGCCAGCCUCUGCAACGUCCCAAAUCAGAUCAGACGGCAAAUGGGAGCUUCAGGUUCCAGACUGGUGUCUUAUGGGACAACAGAGAUGCAUCAGCCCACUGGACUAAAGUGCUCGGUGUGUCUGCACGUGUGUGUGUGUGUGUGUGUGUGUGUGUGUGUGUGUGUGUGUGUGUGUGUACGUGUGUAUGAGAGAUAGAAAAGGGGCAGUUAAAGCUUUAGUGGGCUGUUUACAAGAGGCAAUAAAAACAUUGGAAUUGAAAGCACAUUGCAAUAAAAUUAUUAUUUUUUAUUAUUUA